rfam:Otolemur garnettii contig116507, whole genome shotgun sequence.
GGGAAACAGGAGGUGGGGCCAGCCCCAGGCCCCAAAACAAACUGGGGUA